rnacentral:rRNA from 1 species
UACGGAGGGAGCUAGCGUUGUUCGGAAUUACUGGGCGUAAAGCGCACGUAGGCGGCUUUGUAAGUUAGAGGUGAAAGCCCGGGGCUCAACUCCGGAACUGCCUUUAAGACUGCAUCGCUUGAAUCCAGGAGAGGUGAGUGGAAUUCCGAGUGUAGAGGUGAAAUUCGUAGAUAUUCGGAAGAACACCAGUGGCGAAGGCGGCUCACUGGACUGGUAUUGACGCUGAGGUG